rnacentral:rRNA from 1 species
GAUGAACGCUAGCGAUAGGCCUAACACAUGCAAGUCGAGGGGCAUCACAUGAAGUAGCAAUACGGAUGGUGGCGACCGGCGCACGGGUGAGUAACACGUAUGCAACCUGCCUUCAACAAGGGGAUAACCCGUUGAAAGACGGACUAAUACCCUAUAACACAGGGGUCCCGCAUGGGGAAUAUUUGUUAAAGGACAACCGGUUGAAGAUGGGCAUGCGUUCCAUUAGCUAGUUGGCGGGGUAACGGCCCACCAAGGCAACGAUGGAUAGGGGAACUGAGAGGUUUAUCCCCCACACUGGUACUGAGACACGGACCAGACUCCUACGGGAGGCAGCAGUGGGGAAUUUUGGACAAUGGGGGCAACCCUGAUCCAGCCAUGCCGCGUGAGUGAAGAAGGCCUCGGUGUAAGCUCUUCGUACGGAAGAAUACGCCGCCUCUACAUAGCGGUGGAUGACGGUACCGUAAGAAGAAGCACCGGCUAACUACGUGCCAGCAGCCG